AGCGAACGCUGGCGGCAGGCCUAACACAUGCAAGUCGAACGAACCUUUCGGGGUUAGUGGCGGACGGGGGUGUAACACGUGGGAACGUGCAUUUAGGUACGGAAUAACUCAGGGAAACUUGUGCUAAUACCGAAUGUGCCCUUCGGGGGAAAGAUUAAUCGCCUUUAGAGCGGCCCGCGUCUGAUUAGCUUGUUGGUUGAGGUAAUGGCUCACCAAGGCGACGAUCAGUAGCUGGUCUGAGAGGAUGAUCAGCCACAUUGGCACUGAGACGCGGCCCAAACUCCUACGGGAGGCAGCAGUGGGGAAUCUUGCGCAAUGGGCGAAAGCCUGACGCAGCCAUGCCGCGUGAAUGAUGAAGGUCUUAGGAUUGUAAAAUUCUUUCACCGGGGACGAUAAUGACGGUACCCGGAGAAGAAGCCCCGGCUAACUUCGUG
rnacentral:rRNA from 1 species